GACAUCGAUUUCCAUGGUUUUGAGUGAGACGAAAAUCUGUUAGAAAUGUAGUACCAAAUAGUGGGGAAAUAACAGAAAUAGAGAAUCAGAACCUUCAGAGACUUUCGGCUAAUCCAUUGAACUGGACUGUCGAUGAAGUAAUAAACUACAUUGUUAUUAUGGACCCAGAUUUGGGUCGGGAUAUGCAUUUAUUUAAAAAACACAGAAUUAAUGGCAAGAGUCUAUUUUAUCUUAAUACCGAUAUAAUGACAAAAAAUAUGGAAUUAAGAUGUGGCCCAGCCGUAAAAAUUAAUAACAAAGUAAUACAAUUGUAACUAAUUUCUCCGUCACAUUUUUUAUUUUUUAAAUCAAUCUGUUCAUAAAUAUAGAAUAAUUGAUCUAACCUCAGAUGCAAAUAUAAACAAUAUUGAAGGAACAAAAAAAGCAUCAUCCAAAGUAACAAAUAGAAUAGGUGCUUUUAAUGAUAAUUAUUAAUGGUAUUAUUAAUUAUAUUUAAACGGAUUUAAUAAUAUUAGUACUUUUUAUUUUACAGAGAAUCAGAACCGUUCGAAUCCAUUAAACUGGACAGUCAACGACGUGAUAAACUUUAUUAGUACGGAUAAUACGGACCCAGAGUUAAGUCAGGAGAUAUACCUAUUUAGAAACCACCGUAUUGAUGGAAAGGCUCUACUUUUAUUAAAUACUAAAAUAAUGACAAGAAAUAUGAAAUUAAAAUGUGGCCCAAGUUUAAAAAUAAAUUUUAUGAUGAAACGUUUAAAAAGAGAGAGCGGACUUUACAAUGAUUAUGAAGACUAGAACCAGGACAUCGAUUUCCAUGGUUUUGAGUGAGACGAAAAUCUGUUAGAAAUGUAGUACCAAAUAGUGGGGAAAUAACAGAAAUAGGUACUCUUAAUGAUAAUUAUUAUUGGUAUUAUUAAUUACAUUUAAACGAAUUUAAUGAUAUUCUUCUCUUAUUUUUCAGAGAAUCAGAACCUUCAGAGACUUUCGGCUAAUCCAUUGAACUGGACUGUCGAUGAAGUAAUAAACUACAUUGUUAUUAUGGACCCAGAUUUGGGUCGGGAUAUGCAUUUAUUUAAAAAACACAGAAUUAAUGGCAAGAGUCUAUUUUAUCUUAAUACCGAUAUAAUGACAAAAAAUAUGGAAUUAAGAUGUGGCCCAGCCGUAAAACUUAAUAACAAAGUAAUACAAUUGUAACUAAUUUCUCCGUCACAUUUUUUAUUUUUUAAAUCAAUCUGUUCAUAAAUAUAGAAUAAUUGAUCUAACCUCAGAUGCAGAUAUAAACAAUAUUGAAGGAACAAAAAAAGCAUCAUCCAAAGUAACAAAUAGAAUAGGUGCUUUUAAUGAUAAUUAUUAAUGGUAUUAUUAAUUAUAUUUAAACGGAUUUAAUAAUAUUAGUACUUUUUAUUUUACAGAGAAUCAGAACCGUUCGAAUCCAUUAAACUGGACAGUCAACGACGUGAUAAACUUUAUUAGUACGGAUAAUACGGACCCAGAGUUAAGUCAGGAGAUAUACCUAUUUAGAAAACACCGUAUUGAUGGAAAGGCUCUACUUCUAUUAAAUUUUAAAAUAAUGACAAAAACUAUGAAACUAAAAUAUGGCCCGAGCUUAAAAAUAAAUUUGAUGAUAAACAAUUUAAAAAGAGAAAGCGGACUUUAUGAUUAUGGAGACUAGAACCAAGAGAUUUCCAUGGUUUUGAGUGAGACGAAAAUCUGUUAGAAAUGUAGUACCAAAUAGUGGGGAAAUAACAGAAAUAGGUACUCUUAAUGAUAAUUAUUAUUGGUAUUAUUAAUUACAUUUAAACGAAUUUAAUGAUAUUCUUCUCUUAUUUUUUAGAGAAUCAGAACCUUCAGAGACUUUCGGCUAAUCCAUUGAACUGGACUGUCGAUAAAGUAAUAAACUACAUUGUUAUUAUGGACCCAGAUAUGGGUCGGGAUAUGCAUUUAUUUAAAAAACACAGAAUUAAUGGCAAGAGUCUAUUUUAUCUUAAUACCGAUAUAAUGACAAAAAAUAUGGAAUUAAGAUGUGGCCCAGCCGUAAAACUUAAUAACAAAGUAAUACAAUUGUAACUAAUUUCUCCGUCACAUUUUUUAUUUUUUAAAUCAAUCUGUUCAUAAAUAUAGAAUAAUUGAUCUAACCUCAGAUGCAGAUAUAAACAAUAUUGAAGGAACAAAAAAAGCAUCAUCCAAAGUAACAAAAAGAAUAGGUGCUUUUAAUGAUAAUUAUUAAUGGUAUUAUUAAUUAUAUUUAAACGGAUUUAAUAAUAUUAGUACUUUUUAUUUUACAGAGAAUCAGAACCGUUCGAAUCCAUUAAACUGGACAGUCAACGACGUGAUAAACUUUAUUAGUACGGAUAAUACGGACCCAGAGUUAAGUCAGGAGAUAUACCUAUUUAGAAAACACCGUAUUGAUGGAAAGGCUCUACUUCUAUUAAAUUUUAAAAUAAUGACAAAAACUAUGAAACUAAAAUAUGGCCCGAGCUUAAAAAUAAAUUUGAUGAUAAACAAUUUAAAAAGAGAAAGCGGACUUUAUGAUUAUGGAGACUAGAACCAAGAGAUUUCCAUGGUUUUGAGUGAGACGAAAAUCUGUUAGAAAUGUAGUACCAAAUAGUGGGGAAAUAACAGAAAUAGGUACUCUUAAUGAUAAUUAUUAUUGGUAUUAUUAAUUACAUUUAAACGAAUUUAAUGAUAUUCUUCUCUUAUUUUUCAGAGAAUCAGAACCUUCAGAGACUUUCGGCUAAUCCAUUGAACUGGACUGUCGAUGAAGUAAUAAACUACAUUGUUAUUAUGGACCCAGAUUUGGGUCGGGAUAUGCAUUUAUUUAAAAAACACAGAAUUAAUGGCAAGAGUCUAUUUUAUCUUAAUACCGAUAUAAUGACAAAAAAUAUGGAAUUAAGAUGUGGCCCAGCCGUAAAACUUAAUAACAAAGUAAUACAAUUGUAACUAAUUUCUCCGUCACAUUUUUUAUUUUUUAAAUCAAUCUGUUCAUAAAUAUAGAAUAAUUGAUCUAACCUCAGAUGCAGAUAUAAACAAUAUUAAAGGAACAAAAAAAGCAUCAUCCAAAGUAACAAAAAGAAUAGAGAAUUAGAACCGUUCGAAUCCAUUAAACUGGACAGUCAACGACGUGAUAAACUUUAUUAGUACGGAUAAUACGGACCCAGAGUUAAGUCAGGAGAUAUACCUAUUUAGAAAACACCGUAUUGAUGGAAAGGCUCUACUUCUAUUAAAUUUUAAAAUAAUGACAAAAACUAUGAAACUAAAAUAUGGCCCGAGCUUAAAAAUAAAUUUGAUGAUAAACAAUUUAAAAAGAGAAAGCGGACUUUAUGAUUAUGGAGACUAGAACCAAGAGAUUUCCAUGGUUUUGAGUGAGACGAAAAUCUGUUAGAAAUGUAGUACCAAAUAGUGGGGAGAUAACAGAAAUAGGUACUCUUAAUGAUAAUUAUUAUUGGUAUUAUUAAUUACAUUUAAACGAAUUUAAUGAUAUUCUUCUCUUAUUUUUCAGAGAAUCAGAACCUUCAGAGACUUUCGGCUAAUCCAUUGAACUGGACUGUCGAUAAAGUAAUAAACUACAUUGUUAUUAUGGACCCAGAUAUGGGUCGGGAUAUGCAUUUAUUUAAAAAACACAGAAUUAAUGGCAAGAGUCUAUUUUAUCUUAAUACCGAUAUAAUGACAAAAAAUAUGGAAUUAAGAUGUGGCCCAGCCGUAAAACUUAAUAACAAAGUAAUACAAUUGUAACUAAUUUCUCCGUCACAUUUUUUAUUUUUUAAAUCAAUCUGUUCAUAAAUAUAGAAUAAUUGAUCUAACCUCAGAUGCAGAUAUAAACAAUAUUGAAGGAACAAAAAAAGCAUCAUCCAAAGUAACAAAAAGAAUAGGUGCUUUUAAUGAUAAUUAUUAAUGGUAUUAUUAAUUAUAUUUAAACGGAUUUAAUAAUAUUAGUACUUUUUAUUUUACAGAGAAUCAGAACCGUUCGAAUCCAUUAAACUGGACAGUCAACGACGUGAUAAACUUUAUUAGUACGGAUAAUACGGACCCAGAGUUAAGUCAGGAGAUAUACCUAUUUAGAAAACACCGUAUUGAUGGAAAGGCUCUACUUCUAUUAAAUUUUAAAAUAAUGACAAAAACUAUGAAACUAAAAUAUGGCCCGAGCUUAAAAAUAAAUUUGAUGAUAAACAAUUUAAAAAGAGAAAGCGGACUUUAUGAUUAUGGAGACUAGAACCAAGAGAUUUCCAUGGUUUUGAGUGAGACGAAAAUCUGUUAGAAAUGUAGUACCAAAUAGUGGGGAAAUAACAGAAAUAGGUACUCUUAAUGAUAAUUAUUAUUGGUAUUAUUAAUUACAUUUAAACGAAUUUAAUGAUAUUCUUCUCUUAUUUUUCAGAGAAUCAGAACCUUCAGAGACUUUCGGCUAAUCCAUUGAACUGGACUGUCGAUGAAGUAAUAAACUACAUUGUUAUUAUGGACCCAGAUUUGGGUCGGGAUAUGCAUUUAUUUAAAAAACACAGAAUUAAUGGCAAGAGUCUAUUUUAUCUUAAUACCGAUAUAAUGACAAAAAAUAUGGAAUUAAGAUGUGGCCCAGCCGUAAAACUUAAUAACAAAGUAAUACAAUUGUAACUAAUUUCUCCGUCACAUUUUUUAUUUUUUAAAUCAAUCUGUUCAUAAAUAUAGAAUAAUUGAUCUAACCUCAGAUGCAGAUAUAAACAAUAUUGAAGGAACAAAAAAAGCAUCAUCCAAAGUAACAAAUAGAAUAGGUGCUUUUAAUGAUAAUUAUUAAUGGUAUUAUUAAUUAUAUUUAAACGGAUUUAAUAAUAUUAGUACUUUUUAUUUUACAGAGAAUCAGAACCGUUCGAAUCCAUUAAACUGGACAGUCAACGACGUGAUAAACUUUAUUAGUACGGAUAAUACGGACCCAGAGUUAAGUCAGGAGAUAUACCUAUUUAGAAAACACCGUAUUGAUGGAAAGGCUCUACUUCUAUUAAAUUCUAAAAUAAUGACAAGAAACUAUGAAACUAAAAUAUGGCCCAAGCUUAAAAAUAAAUUUGAUGAUGAAAC